rnacentral:rRNA from 1 species
CAGUAGCCGCGGUAAAACCAGCAGCCCAAGUGGUGGUCGCGAUUAUUGGGCCUAAAGCGCUCGUAGCCGGGCCGGUAAGUCCCUUGUGAAAUCGGACGGCCUAACCGUUCGGCGUGCAAGGGAUACUGUCGGUCUUGAGGCCGGGAGACGUCCGAGGUACUCCGGGGGUAGCGGUGAAAUGUUCUGAUCCUCGGGGGACCACCGGUGGCGAAGGCGUUCGACGAGAACGGGCCUGACGGUGAGGGGCGAAGGCUAGGUGAGCAAACGGGAUUAGAUACCCCUGUAGUCCCUGUCUCUUACA